rnacentral:rRNA from 1 species
UACGUAGGGCGCAAGCGUUGUCCGGAAUUAUUGGGCGUAAAGAGCUCGUAGGCGGUUUGUCGCGUCUGCCGUGAAAACCCGAGGCUUAACCUCGUGGCUUGCGGUGGAUACGGGCAGACUAGAGGUAGGUAGGGGAAAAUGGAAUUCCCGGUGUAGCGGUGAAAUGCGCAGAUAUCGGGAGGAACACCGGUGGCGAAGGCGGUUCUCUGGGCCUUACCUGACGCUGAGGAGCGAAAGCGUGGGGAGCGAACAGG